CAGUGAAUGAGCUGGUCUUCACCUGCUGUCAUCUGGGGCAUCAAAGCAAGACUUGAGACUCUUGAAUUUCUUUCUGGCUUGGCCAAUAAUCUUCUUGAACAAGAGAUGCUUCAGAUCACCACCAGUGCCACUGAGAUCAGAAUUAGAUCCUUUGCAGUGUUACAGCAAAUGCUUUGCAGAACUUUCAAAGUGGACCAUCAGAACUCUUCAGAUGUGCACCCAGGAACAACUUUUUCCAGGCUGUAACACUUCUGGUAUCAGAGCCUGUCUGUCUCAGAAAAAUGUGGCAAUGGAAUGGCAGAGUCAGAGAGAGCUGGUCAACAUUCAAGUCUCUGUUAGAUGCUGUUAGCGGUUUCCACUGAAAUUGAAAUUCCUCUUGCAUCUCAUCAGAAGCACAAUUUGGCACUAACUCCACUGCUCUCACUGCAGCUGCUCCUCUCUGACUGGAGCUGGAAGAAUUCUGUAGGCACAAAUGCAUGCAGGACCAGGGAGUGCUCACAGAACCUGGGACUGUUCUCCCAGCUGGGAUAACACAGAAUUUGAACAGAAGGGACAUUGCAGAAGAUACCUGGAAAGGGAGAAGGAGACUAAGUUAAAAAAUGGCAGAAAGAACUAA